rnacentral:lncRNA from 1 species
AAACCUGGAGAGUCUUCUGGCUCUUCCUGUGCGCCUGUGCUCCUGAUGUAUCCUCUCAGUGACCGCGUCUGCAGCCCGAGGAGAAGUGAGGCAUUCAAGUCCUCUCUAGCUGGGCUCUGCCUGAGGCGAGGCUGCCCUACACUGACCCACCUCAGCAGCUUGCAGAGGUCCCAGGAGAGUCUAGUUUCUCUGGGGAGCCUUGAGAAGGAGCUGUGAUGAGAGAUGGUCAGUGUCCUGAAUCGUUAAGUGCUUGCUUCCCAGAGCCCUGCCUUGUCUCAAAGAGAAGAGAACGAUGACCAAGUUACAGGAGGCAGUGACGUUCAGGGAUGUGGCCGUGGUCUUCAGUAAGGAGGAGAUGGGGUUGCUGGACGCUGCCCAGAGGAAGCUGUACCACGAUGUGAUGGUGGAGAACCUCAGGAACCUCCUGGCAGUGGGAGGCCAGAGUCCAAGUACAAUGAAGACAGUCGACACGCCAGGAGUAAGGUGCCUUUCACUGGGGAAGCUUCCAUGUUGGCACAUGACAGGCCAUGAUGCCAACAACCUGGCCAGAGCUCCAGAAGAUGUAAUAAACACUCAAGAACAGGGUUCUCACUUCCUG